AGAAUAUCAUCAAAUCUCAAUGCAGCUCUGUGCCUUUGUUUACAUUCGCGUUGUUGUGACAAAACCGCUGCGAACAGGUGUAGCAAAAGGACGAAAUAUUUCGAAAUAGUGAAUUAUUGUUUAAUUUAAAAUUAAAUUUAAGUGUUAAUUAGUGAAAUUCGGACAUUUAAGUGUUUUUGAGUCGAUCGUGUGCCGUGAUAAGUGUUUUUCGCGAGUUGGGCAAAUGUUUUGUGCGCACUAUCGUUUUUGCUCGGUUUGUAUGGCGAAAAGUGUCGCGAUCCUUGUAAAAUAAAGCGUAAUAAUGAUAAGUAUAAUAAGUGUGUAGUAAAUAUGUGAAAAAAGUGUGUGUGAGUGUAAAUAAUUUGUGAAAAGUGUUUUAAGUGUAGUGCAUGUUGUGGAAAAUUGGAAAAUUUGCAGUAAAUUGCGUCGUUGCAGUAAACAGUCCUCGAGUGCUCGUGUGAACACGGGCCGCUGGCUCUGCGUUAUGUUCAGAUGCUGCCGUGUUUCGCAAAGUGUCUCGCAGUCGGGCGCUUGCAACAAUAAUAUUAUAUCGGCAAACGGAAAUCCACUUUACAACCCGCUAUGUCCGACAAGAAUUAAUCAAAUCCUUAAUUGAUUUCAACACAGAAUGCGUGAUUUCAAUUUGCAUAGUCAAUCGCGCUCGAAAUGUGUUUGUUUGUGCCGCGUAAGAUCACGCAUCAGCAUAAAAUUCGCUUGCCGUUAACCGUUGCCGGGGCGAUAAAAACAAAAACAAGUGCUAUAAUUUUCACUGCCGUCGUAACAUUUCAAGUUUGACUGCCCGACAUUUCCCAUCGUUCGCGACGCACGCAAGACGCAUCUUUCAUUUCGGGAGCCACAGAGGCCGCCUAAAUGCGCCUGUCACAGACAUUUACUUUUCUGUGUCCGCAUAAACUGUUAUAACACUUGCACUUACCAAUCGCGCCCACACGCAAGAAGAAGCUGCCGUGUGUGGG